rnacentral:rRNA from 1 species
UGGGGAACUUUGGACAAUGGGCGAAAGCCUGAUCCAGCAAUGCCGCGUGUGUGAAGAAGGCCUUCGGGUUGUAAAGCACUUUUGUCCGGAAAGAAAUCCUUGGCUCUAAUACAGUCGGGGGAUGACGGUACCGGAAGAAUAAGCACCGGCUAACUACGUGCCAGCAGCCGCGGUAAUACGUAGGGUGCAAGCGUUAAUCGGAAUUACUGGGCGUAAAGCGUGCGCAGGCGGUUUGCUAAGACCGAUGUGAAAUCCCCGGGCUCAACCUGGGAACUGCAUUGGUGACUGGCAGGCUAGAGUAUGGCAGAGGGGGGUAGAAUUCCACGUGUAGCAGUGAAAUGCGUAGAGAUGUGGAGGAAUACCGAUGGCGAAGGCAGCCCCCUGGGCCAAUACUGACGCUCAUGCACGAAAAGCGUGGGGGAGCAAAACAGGAUUAGAUACCCUGGUAGUCCACGCCCUAAAACGAUGUCAACUAGUUGUUGGGGAUUCAUUUCCUUAGUGACGUAGCU